rnacentral:lncRNA from 1 species
AUUAUUAUUUUUUUGAAACUUUCUACAUAAAUAAUAGUGUUUUUUUUAAUAUAAAUAUAUACAUAUCGUGAUUCCAACAAGUUUUGUAAAGUUUUAAACGGGAAUAGUGUGUGUAAAAAAUUCAGUGGUAAUUAAAGGGUAUCAUAAAUCACGAUCAGGUAGGUGAUCCCAAGUUUGCUUUGAUUGCUAAGCCCUUGUGUGUGUGUGUGUGUAUGUGCUUUCAAGAUAAUUGCCAGUUCUAUUCACCAGAAAAUGUGUUUUUGCUCUGCUAUUUAUAGAUUUAUAGCAUGCGAGAUCUAGACGUUUGUUCGCUAAUCUAGCCGGCGAUCUAGUUAAUAAGUGUAUAACCGUGUAAUUUGAUCGCAGUAACUAAAGCGCAGAAACCGUUUAACGCUAUCUGCUAUUACCUUUUCUAUGAAUUUUUUAGUUUUAGCAACUUGUAUAAGUGGUUAUCGUAUCUUUUUUUUUUUUUUUCCAUUGAUGUCACGCGUGCGGUUCUUGCAGGAAGCGAAAAUCUUAUCUGUUAGAAAGAGAGAGAGAGACCAUUUUGGUCAUUGUCACGAUUUUGAUUGGUGAGGUGCGCUAAUCUUUUCGCACAGAAAAGAAAAGAUAAGUUGUGCAGUAUGUCAUACAAACACACAUACGUUCCGGUUAAACGGCAAUUAACGUAAUGAUAGACCACCUCGAUUUAUUGGCGAUCGAAUUACGCGUUAACAACUCGUCAUUAGUGCUGUAAACAACGAUGCCGUUCGAACGUCACGCGUUUAAAACUUUACAGAAACUUCGAGUAAUUGCCUUAAGUGCAAAAAUCCGUCGAAAGGAAAAAUUCGGCCAGAGAGGAAAGGAAGAAGAAAAAAGAGAGGAAAAAAAAAAAAGCAGAUUUUUUUCAAGUCAAAUCACGCACAAGUCGGUAUAAACUAAGCCUCUUUUCUCGCGCCAUUUUUUUUUUACCAGAAGAGGAAGAAAUCGCUUUUGCUAUUCCACACUCGUACGGUCGGAAAUCACACAAGAUGCUUUUAUUAACUUUUCGGUACCUUCCCUAUGUGACGUCACAUCGUUUUGAUGGUUAUUUACGAGGAAUUCGGCAUCGUCUAUCCUAUGAGAAAAUCAUGGUUCGAAUUUAUAAACCGAAACAUAACUCACGUGAUCUGUUAUACACAUCCGAAAACCUCCAAAAUAUACUUUUAGUAACUCGCUUCAGCAAACAGAGAAUUAUUCAAAGUAAAUAGCGAAAAUCCGGAUAAUUAUAGUACAUCCCCUUGCAAAAGUAUGUACAGAUGUCAUAUAAUUAUCCAGAUUUUGACAAUCUGUACAUACUUUUGCAAGAGGAUAUACUGUAAUUAUCUGUAUUUUGGCGAUCUAUACACACAUUUGCAAGGAAAUGUCGUAUAACUAUCCGGAUUUUGGUCAUUUCCUUGAAAAAGUGUGUACAGAUAGCCAAAAUCCGGAUAAUUACAGAACAGCUUGCUUACAUACAAAAGUAUGUACAGCUUGCAGCUUGCUACAUACUUUUGUAUGUAAAGAUGGCCAAAAUCUAGAUAAUUAUAGGACAUCUUGCAAAAAUAUGUACAGAUCGCCAAACGUCUGCUUUAUAUAUAUAUAUUUAUU